rnacentral:rRNA from 1 species
CGGGAGGCAGCAGUAGGGAAUCUUCCACAAUGGGCGAAAGCCUGAUGGAGCAACGCCGCGUGUGUGAUGAAGGCUUUCGGGUCGUAAAGCACUGUUGUAUGGGAAGAACAGCUAGAAUAGGAAAUGAUUUUAGUUUGACGGUACCAUACCAGAAAGGGACGGCUAAAUACGUGCCAGCAGCCGCGGUAAUAAUCA